CCGAAGCGGGGGAUAACAUUUGGAAACAAGUGCUAAUACCGCAUAAUUAGUUGGAACCGCAUGGUUCCAACUUGAAAGAUGGCUCUGCUAUCACUUUGGGAUGGACCCGCGCCGUAUUAGUUAGUUGGUGAGAUAAAAGCCCACCAAGACGAUGAUACGUAGCCGACCUGAGAGGGUAAUCGGCCACAUUGGGACUGAGACACGGCCCAGACUCCUACGGGAGGCAGCAGUAGGGAAUCUUCCACAAUGGACGAAAGUCUGAUGGAGCAACGCCGCGUGAGUGAUGAAGGUUUUCGGAUCGUAAAACUCUGUUGUUAAAGAAGAACAAGUGUUAGAGUAACUGUUAACACUUUGACGGUAUUUAACCAGAAAGCCACGGCUAACUACGUGCCAGCAGCCGCGGUAAUACGUAGGUGGCAAGCGUUGUCCGGAUUUAUUGGGCGUAAAGCGAGCGCAGGCGGUUUUGUAAGUCUGCUGUGAAAGCCCUCAGCUCAACUGAGGAAGUGCAGUGGAAACUACAAAACUUGAGUACAGAAGAGGAAAGUGGAACUCCAUGUGUAGCGGUGAAAUGCGUAGAUAUAUGGAAGAACACCAGUGGCGAAGGCGGCUUUCUGGUCUGUUACUGACGCUGAGGCUCGAAAGCAUGGGUAGCGAACAGGAUUAGAUACCCUGGUAGUCCAUGCCGUAAAACGAUGAAUACUAGGUGUUGGAGGGUUUCCGCCCUUCAGUGCCCCAGCUAACGC
rnacentral:rRNA from 2 species